GUCGAGCGAGUCUGCCUUGAAGAUCGGAGUGCUUGCACUCUGUGAAACAAGAUACAGGCUAGCGGCGGACGGGUGAGUAACACGUGGGUAACCUGCCCAAGAGAUCGGGAUAACACCUGGAAACAGAUGCUAAUACCGGAUAACAACAGAUGAUGCCUAUCAACUGUUUAAAAGAUGGUUCUGCUAUCACUCUUGGAUGGACCUGCGGUGCAUUAGCUAGUUGGUAGGGUAACGGCCUACCAAGGCGAUGAUGCAUAGCCGAGUUGAGAGACUGAUCGGCCACAUUGGGACUGAGACACGGCCCAAACUCCUACGGGAGGCAGCAGUAGGGAAUCUUCCACAAUGGACGCAAGUCUGAUGGAGCAACGCCGCGUGAGUGAAGAAGGGUUUCGGCUCGUAAAGCUCUGUUGUUGGUGAAGAAGGACAGGGGUAGUAACUGACCUUUGUUUGACGGUAAUCAAUUAGAAAGUCACGGCUAACUACGUGCCAGCAGCCGCGGUAAUACGUAGGUGGCAAGCGUUGUCCGGAUUUAUUGGGCGUAAAGCGAGUGCAGGCGGCUCGAUAAGUCUGAUGUGAAAGCCUUCGGCUCAACCGGAGAAUUGCAUCAGAAACUGUCGAGCUUGAGUACAGAAGAGGAGAGUGGAACUCCAUGUGUAGCGGUGAAAUGCGUAGAUAUAUGGAAGAACACCGGUGGCGAAGGCGGCUCUCUGGUCUGUUACUGACGCUGAGGCUCGAAAGCAUGGGUAGCGAACAGGAUUAGAUACCCUGGUAGUCCAUGCCGUAAACGAUGAGUGCUAAGUGUUGGGAGGUUUCCGCCUCUCAGUGCUGCAGCUAACGCAUUAAGCACU
rnacentral:rRNA from 1 species